rnacentral:sRNA from 1 species
CUUCAAAUCAAAUGGUCCGCAGAACUACCUCCUCCUGCAUGGCCCCCUCUGUGGUCAGCCUUCUCUGCAUAGCCCUGGUGUUUACUUACGUUAAUAUUCUCUGGCCUCUUCUGACUGGAUGCUUUGAUAUGAUGCCAGGAUUCCUUACCCCUUCCUAGAGCACACAUGUGGGAUUUCAGGCCCAGCAACCCCCUCACAUCUAAGACUAUAGCAUCGUGGAGUCAGCACCCACAGUCCACCAGGGCUGGCACCCACCAGGGCUGGCAUCCACCAGGGCUGGCAUCCACCAGUGCUGGCAUCUACCAGGGCUGGCACCCACCAGGGCUGCAUCCACCAGGGCUGGCACCCUCAUGUCCGAGGGCAGAAGCCAAUGAAGCAAUAUUCUGAGGGAAUGCUGCCUGGUCUCCUUAGUGACAUAUUUUCUUUCCAGAUAGCCAUGCCCCAAAUAAACCAUCUAGAGAUACUGCUUUUCAGCACAUGCCACACAGAGGGUGGUCGGUAGAUACAGGACGAGGCCUGUCUUCUGUGCCACUAUUCCUCCCUGUAGACCCUGAUGGGCUGUGAGUCUUGGACCCAAACCAUGCUGAAGGGACAGUAAGAGACCCACUGCAGCCCCUUCUCUAUCCCGCUGCAGCUGUUGGCUGAGAGUUGUGGGUAACCUGGCCUUCUGAUGCCUUCCUUUACCACUGUUCCUUCUCUGGUAGCCGAGGUGUUUUAUUUUGGUUUGCUCCCCCCACCCUUAAAAAAUUCUAGCCAGCGUUGAAGUCAGCAAAGUAUUUGUGAAAUGAAAGUGACAUCUUGCUGCUCUGUUUACUAACUGCAAGUUUCAGCUUCAAAGCAGGGUGACACACUCGAUUCCUUUUGCUCUGCCCACAAACCCUGACAUUUUCAAAUAGAAAAAAGAUAGAAACAAGAUAGAACAUCUGAAAAGUCCUGAAAUGUGUUUUGCAGGAAUAGCUCUGAGCUCUAUCAAAGCAUCAUGGUGGGCAAGACCAAGGGGUGUCGUGUGACUCCUCAAAGCCACCCCACGCUGUGAGCAGUUAGUUGGCUUUGCAUCACUACAGUGAAACGCUGCUUACAGUCAUUCGGGGGUUUGGUGUCCUUGAAGCUUUGUGGGUGUGGGCCGUAAGAGAAAGUGACUGGUUGAGGCAGGAGCACAUUUGAAACGUAGCAUGAGCAGAAAGCAGAGAGAGGAUGAAAUCAGGGUGCCACAGUUCCCAGGGACUCAAGGACCUCCUGUUGGGCCUCUUCCCAAACUCCCAUAGCAGCUCCUAGCACAGCUAUCAGGACCUCAAUGAACCCUUGGGUACAGUCAUCAGCCAGCCAUAUUAGUCUCAUUAGUAAACAUGAAAGAAUUAGAAUUGGUUUGUAGAAGCUCUUGAAUGGUAGCCAUGCAACACACUUCCAACAGAAUGAUUAAACACAUAGGCUUAAGGUAUGGCCGGACUUAAACUCAAAAGCCCUGAAAAGGUGGCCUCUGUUUCUCCUUCCUGUGUAAGAUAGUGAUGAUCUUAGAAUUUCCCUAAAAAACAAAUGAACGACUUGUGUAAGCGUGUAAUGCAUUAGCACAUACUUAGCUGUGGUCAGCACCGCCAUUUAACAUGGGCCUUUUUAGUCAGCCAUGUUGCUUACGUGUUGUUAGUCGAUCAGCAAGGACUUCCGUGUGCUAGACACAGAGCUGAGCACUAGACUAGAGAUUCUCUGUUUUCGGUAAUCUCAGCACUGCGCGGUGAUCUCACUAUUACUGUCUGGCUUGGUGAUGCCAGGUAAAGGUAGGAUGCUCUGCCAGCACCGAGAAGGGGUCUUGUUUUAAGAUGGCUGAUCAGCCUGGUGCAGCCUUAUGUCCUUUGUGAUUGUAAGUACAAUGAAGGACCUUGAGGAACAGUUAACUGCCCCUCUAACAGCCUCGCUUCAUGUUGUAGUGAAAGUAAAUUCAGCCACGAAGCUGAGAACUCAUUAAAUAAACACCCAUUCAGAAGUAGAUUAAUGCAACCUAUUUUCAGACUUUGCAGUGCCUCGGCUCUGAGAUUCAGAUAUCUGACUACCAUUAGAAAAGGGGCGCCACCACAAAAGCAGGGGUCCGUUACUCUUCUAAUCCACUUCAUCUGAAGAAGCUUCUGGCCAAGGUGUGGUAGCAUCUUUAAUGCCAGCACUCAAGAGGCAGAGGCAGAUGGGUCUUUAUGAGUUCGAGUCUAACCUGGUCUAUAUAGUGAGUUUCAGACCAGUCCAGGAUGCAUUGUGUCAAAGUGAGAAAAAAAAAAAAAACAAACUUCCCAAACCAUGGCUGGGUACACAUGGCCCUUGGCGUCAUUUUUUUUUCUUCCUUUUAGUGAUUUAUUUUGAUAAAAGUUGUCAAGUUGUACACUUAUUCCUUCCCCAUGCAAGAGUGGGUACAACUUCUCAAGUAUCCUUCCUUACCUACAGAUCUUGAACAGAUUUUAUUUUAUCAGUGAGAGCCUAUUUCCAGUAUUUACUGUAUUAAUUAACAAGCCAUUAAUUUUUAGCAGUUAAGACUCUUUUGGAAGCUGCAGUCGGGAAUUCACAUUAAAUGGCCACUCCUGGGGUGUGAGCUCUUCCUUAGAGCCAGUCACCACCUGAGUUGAAGCCUAGGUGUACCAGCACACCUCUUUACCACAUCAUAUGUGUGGUGUGGGUGCCUAUCCCAGGAUGGCAGGGAAGGUUUCCCAGAGGAAAGAGAGCUUGAUCUGGCCUGAAAUAAUAGGGGAUAUGUCCCAGGAAGACCUGAGUCAGCAAGGCUGGGUGCGGGGGUGGGAGCAGGCUGUAUAUGUCUUAAAUACAAAAGCACAAGAAGGUCUGGGGGAGACUGUGGGGGUCCAGGUCACAGAGCCCCCGUCUGUGGCGGCUUCUUAGUGAAGGAAAGGAAUUUCCACCCAUGGUCUGUUGAAAGGCAGAACAGCAUGGUUGUCAGGGUAGAAAAAUGCCCUAACCUGAGGCUGUACGAGUGAAAUCUCCCCACCCCUUGGAAACUCUCUAAUGUCCCCCAAGUCUCAGUUAUUUGUCAUUUGAGCACAUAGCACCUGAACUUACCUGUUAAGGAAUGUCACUCAUCAGACUGCGUGCCUCCUGAGGGUAGGACUGACUUUGUGUCUGAUCUUACAAGGAUAAGGACCGAGCAGGCACUCGAUUGUUGUCCAAACUGUGGUCAAAUAAACGAGAGGUCUGUGGAAGAGAUCCCUCAGGGUAUGGGUUGUACGUAGAAAAUGAGUGGGGGAAGGAAGUGUGUGGCCCUGACAACCAGAGGAAGAAGAGCCAAACAUUGUUGCUAGCCGAGGCUCCUGUCUCCAGAAUAAUCUACAGUAUACGAAGGGAAGGUUCUCUGAGGAGCAGUGUGAAACUUAACGUGUGGGCAUGUGUGUGUGUAGGCAUGUGUGUGUAGACAUGCAUGUGGGCAUGCGUGUAGGUAUGUAUGUGUGUGUGUGUGCAUGUGUGUGUCCAUUACAUACAUCCUCGUUGGUCCUUGACUAUAGUCCCUCUCCCAAAGAUCCUCUGUCAGAUGAAAAUGGCCAUCAUGUCUGGCAAACAGUGGCUGACAAAGUGACAUGUGUAAGAGACACAAAGGAAGAAGCUGAAUGUAUCUGCUGCAGAGUCUCUUAAACUCUGUGACUGAAGGGCGUACUCAUGGACUCCCCAUUAGACCUGCCGAGAGUCGGUUCAGUCAGGAGGAGGGAGGAGCAAUGCUUUUUAUCCUGGUCUCCUGCGUUGGAACUCCUGCUCUCCAGACACUGCCGACCGGCUGCCAGCUCACCUGCUCCCUGAUAUACCCUUUAAAAACACCUUUAUUGAUUUCUCAGUGUGUUUAGGGUUUUUGUUUUGUCUUAGCUUUAAAUUUUUUUUUCAAGAAGCAUGCUUUGUGUUGCUUUUGGGCUUACUGUUUGUAUCUUUGCUUUUCUGGUUCAGUUUCUGAUUUAAACCAGCUAAUUCCAGUUGUAUCGGUCAGGUUUGUUAUACGUGCUGUGUGCAUUGCGUGCGUGUCAUACCCUUUAGAAUUGGUUGUGAGAAGAUGUGAAAACAGGCAUUUAUUUAGUAUUUUACGGUUACACAGUUACCUUUCCCGGUUCUCCUUGUUUACGUGCAUUUGAAAUUUCUAAAAUGAUUUUCACUCUGAAGAGCCCGCUUAGCCCCUCUUGUCAGAGACGUAGGCAGGCGUGGGCAUUAGUACUGAGUACCUUGUGGGGAUCAGAGAACGGCUAACCUCCAGGAGUUGGUUCUCUCCUUCCACCCUGGGUUCCAGAUCCACUCAGGAGGUCGGGACCUUGAGACAACACUCUAACGGCCGAGCCACGUCUGCAGGCCUCCGAGGUUUCGAUUGAUCUAGGAAAGCCCUUACUUCACAUCCACUUUUAGAAGACAGCUUUGCUAGAUGUAGGCAUCUCAGCUGCUAGGUGUUUUUUUGAAGGUUUUGAAUGUUACCUCCCGGGCUCCUGGCCACCAUUGUUGCUGCCGUCAAUCUUAGGGCUCAUCCCAUUUACCCCCUAGAAAUGACUAGUGCUUUCCACUUUGUCUUUUACUUUCCAAGCUUGUGGCUCCGUUUUAUCGUUUUAUGGUAUCGUUCAUUCAUAUCCUGCUCAGAGUCCAUUGAGCUGACUGAAUGUGAACAUUACUACUUUUCAGUGAACUUGGAAAUUCUGAGGGUUAACUCCCAAGUUUUCACUUAGCUUCUGUAUAUAUGUUUCUUUGUUGGCGUUCUCCACGGGCCAUGGCAGGCAUCACACCGUCCUGUGUUUUCUUAUCUCCUGCUCCCCUGACGUCAUGAGCACAUAUAUCCGGACUGCUUUGAAGCUGGAUGUGAGAUCUGGGGCCCAGCUCCUCUUGUGUUUGGUUGCAGCCGUUUCUUUGGUUAAUGCUUUCCUAUGUGUGCACACCUUGUGGUUUGUAGUGGGAUCUGAACAUUUGAGAAUGGUGUACUUGCCCAUCUGCCCCCGGGGCUCACUACUAUUUUAUUAUGUUCUGGUGAUGGGUUGGGAUAAUUUAGUAAAGCUUAUUUUCCUCCACUGUUAAUGGCGUGACUUACUCUCCCAGAAAGGUAGCCAGACGCAGCUGUGUCUUUCUACAGUGUCACAAUGUAUCAAAUAGCACUAACUUCACAGCCUACAUUUCAUUUGCUAAGUAGUUUUGAUUUCUCUUUUUAGCCAGCUGUUGGUAAAGCCAGACUUUUACAUUUCCAUCUUAAUUAUUAAUAUUAACGGUCAGGUCUGUAUUCAACAUCACAUGAUUGGCAGAUGUGUGCCUCACAGAAUGGCUACAGACGAAUCAAAGAGACCAAGAGGCUUGAAUGGAAAUAGAGGUGGAGAGCCAGUGCAGACCCACACAGGGCUACAGAGCAGGCUGCAGGGGAAGAGCUAAGCUGAGGCCCCAGGACAGUUGGGAGUUCUCUGUCCUGUUGGCGAAUUCCUUACCUUACACACUGGGUGGUCAAAUGGCAGGUAAGGGGGUCCAUCACUGUCAGUGUUAGAUGUGGGGUCUGUAAAGGAGAGCGCACUAGAAACAUCAAACUAGGCUGUUCUGUGGAUAGAAAGAAAUGUUUAUUUGGGGGAAAUCAAACUGCCGUGGCUAUCUCCAGUGGAGGGGAGCAGGCAGAGAAUAGCAAAAGGCAGGGAAAGCGUUGCCAGUUUUAAAGAGACAGGUGAUGGGAGGGAGCCUGUAGUGGAACAGGCUGUGAGUUAGAGUAGCGGGCAGGAGGGGUGGCCGGCCAGAAGAGCCAGGGCACUAGCAUGGGGACUUUGGUCUGUUAAAGGUUUAUAUAGUGAUGGGGAUGCCCUAUGCCUGUAGGGGUGGAUGAGGGAAGAAAAGGUUUUUCCACGCAAACAGAAACCCACUUGGCAAGGUUCCUGAGGAAUGCCAAGUGCAAGCUUUAGUUUAUCCUGUUUACCUGGUCAGGGUCCAGCCUGAGCUCAGCCCAGGCUGGCUUUUAGGGCAUUGCUAAGGCACUGCCAUCUAGGGAGCCUGCUUUGGACCUAAGAGUCCAGGUGAGGACGUUAUGCCCUUUGUUGUCCUGGCGUGCUUGGUAUUUUAUUGGGCCUGACUUUCUGUUAUGUUCUUUGUACUUCCCCGUGCCCAGAUGUCCCCGUACAGUUAGGUGAGUUUAUAGGUAGUGCUUUUCUACUUUUGGGGAUGAGCUCUUAGCAGGCUGUGCCUCCUGUGAGGGCUUGGAAAAGUGGUGCUGUGCAUGUGUAAGGAAGAGGUACCUGCCUCUGUCUGAGCUCAGAAUGGAGCUAAAUGCUGCUUUGUGAAAUCAAAUCCCCAGGAAGCCAGGCACAUCCUGAGCACAUGGUGCUACACACUGGGGGGUAACAGAGCAGGUAGACCCUGGUCUCCACGUUAAGCUUCUCAUACUGCUCCCUAAGGAGGUAGGAUACAGUCACCCCGGGAUAACCCUGGGGCUGUGGUGGUGCCUGACUUUCUGUUUAAUCUCUGGCCACACCAUGCCCAGCUGCUUUGUUGAAAAACAAUAACCCAGGAUGUAAAUUGUUCUUCGAACCCAGGGUGUCAACUCUGACUCUUCGUAGGUAACCAUUUCUGAAGUCUACGUUAUUGCUCUUCCUGCCACUAGAGUCGUCUUUCCCCUCCUCCUCUGUGAUGCACCACAUCUCAAGUCGCUCUCCUUUUACCUUCCACAACUCCUGUGGUCCUCAGAGCCUGGGCUCAGACAUCUCUAAGCUUGACCGCAAUGACGCAGCUCUCUUUAAAAGAGAGCAGAAACUGUCAGUGUACAAACCCACUUUUAUCCCUGGGAAAAGCUUAUACUCCCAAAUCUCUGGUGCUUUGGACAGGGACAGUGCAAAGCUUCUGUGUCACUCAUAAUCUAGGACUGGGGUGAUGCUGG